AUUGCUCAGUAACACGUGGAUAACCUACCCUUAGGACCGGGAUAACCUUGGGAAACUGAGGAUAAUACUGGAUAGGCAAUUCUUCCUGUAAUGGUUUUUUGUUUAAAUGUUUUUUCGCCUAAGGAUGGGUCUGCGGCCGAUUAGGUAGUUGGUUAGGUAAUGGCUUACCAAGCCGUUGAUCGGUACGGGUUGUGAGAGCAAGAGCCCGGAGAUGGAACCUGAGACAAGGUUCCAGGCCCUACGGGGCGCAGCAGGCGCGAAACCUCCGCAAUGUGAGAAAUCGCGACGGGGGGAUCCCAAGUGCCAUUCUUAACAGGAUGGCUUUUCAUUAGUGUAAAGAGCUUUUGGAAUAAGGGCUGGGUAAGACGGGUGCCAGCCGCCGCGGCAAUACCCGCAGCCCAAGUGGUGGUCGAUUUUAUUGAGUCUAAAACGUUCGUAGCCGGUUCAUUAAAUCCUUGGGUAAAUCGGAUGGCUUAACUAUCCGAAUUCCGGGGAGACUGGUGAACUUGGGACCGGGAGAGGCAAGAGGUACUUUUGGGGUAGGGGUAAAAUCCUGUAAUCCUAAAAGGACCACCGGUGGCGAAGGCGUCUUGCUAGAACGGAUCCGACGGUGAGGGACGAAGCCCUGGGUCGCAAACGGGAUUAGAUACCCCGGUAGUCCAGGGUGUAAACGCUGCAGACUUGGUGUUGGGGACCCUUCGGGGGUGUUCAGUGCCGGAGAGAAGUUGUUAAGUCUGCUACUUGGGGAGUACGUCCGCAAGGAUGAAACUUAAAGGAAUUGGCGGGGGAGCACCGCAACGGGAGGAACGUGCGGUUUAAUUGGAUUCAACACCGGAAAACUCACCAGCAGCGACUAUUACAUGAAAGUCAGGCCGAUGACCUUACUAGAUUUUUAGAGAGGUGGUGCAUGGCCGUCGUCAGUUCGUACCGUAAGGCGUUCUCUUAAGUGAGAUAACGAACGAGACCCUCACCAAUAAUUGCUACUGCGUCGUCCGCGGCGUAGGCACAUUAUUGGGACCGCUGGCGCUAAGUCAGAGGAAGGAGAGGUCAACGGUAGGUCAGUAUGCCCCGAAUCUGCUGGGCUACGCGCGCGUUACAAAGGGCGGGACAAUGGGCUCCGACACCGAAAGGUGAAGGCAAUCUCGAAACCCGUCCGUAGUUCGGAUUGAGGGUUGUAACUCACCCUCAUGAAGCUGGAUUCCGUAGUAAUCGCGAAUCAACAACUCGCGGUGAAUAUGCCCCUGCUCCUUGCACACACCGACACACCGAGCUGCUCAGUAACACGUGGCCACACUGCGCGAGACUUACGGAGCUCCUUGCACACACA
rnacentral:rRNA from 1 species